rnacentral:rRNA from 1 species
GAUGAACGCUGGCGGCGUGCCUAAUACAUGCAAGUCGAGCGAACAGACGAGGAGCUUGCUCCUCUGACGUUAGCGGCGGACGGGUGAGUAACACGUGGAUAACCUACCUAUAAGACUGGGAUAACUUCGGGACACCGGCGCUAAUCCCGGAUAAUAUAUUGAACCGCAUGGUUCAAUAGUGAAAGACGGUUUUGCUGUCACUUAUAGAUGGAUCCGCGCCGCAUUAGCUAGUUGGUAAGGUAACGGCUUACCAAGGCAACGAUGCGUAGCCGACCUGAGAGGGUGAUCGGCCACAUGGGAACGGAGACACGGUCCAGACUCCUACGGGAGGCAGCAGUAGGGAAUCUGCCGCAAUGGGCGAAAGCCUGACGGAGCAACGCCGCGUGAGUGAUGAAGGUCUUCGGAUCGGAAAACUCUGUUAUUAGGGAAGAACAAAUGUGUAAGUAACUAUGCACGUCUUGACGGUACCUAAUCAGAAAGCCACGGCUAACUACGUG